rfam:Schistosoma rodhaini strain Burundi genome assembly, scaffold: SROB_scaffold0007658
AUCCUGCUGACGAGUCCCAAAUAGGACGAAACGCGCGUCCUGGAU